UCAUCAUUACAUAUCACCCUUCAGCUCUCUACUGACUACCCAUUGAAGCUCAGCAGGGUUGAGCCUGGUCAGUACCUGGAUGGGAGACCUCCUGGGAACCUAUGGUUGCUGCUGGA
rnacentral:rRNA from 1 species